CGAAGGCGAACCCGAGAACCAGCUUCAUCAAUCAAGUCAAUUGCCUUAUCAGGAAGAAAACGGUCACUGAUGUACUGAUAUGACAACUGUGCAGCAGCUAUUAGAGCUUCAUCUGUGUAACGGAGCUUGUGGUGGAUCUCAUAUCGCUCUCGCAGCCCUUUCAGAAUCUGAAUUGUUUCAUCAACAGAUGGCUCAGGCACUUUGACUGGCUGGAAUCGUCUUUCUAAAGCA
rnacentral:misc_RNA from 1 species